CAAUAGCGUAUAUUUAAGUUGUUGCAGUUAAAAAGCUCGUAGUUGGAUUUCGGGUGGGACGCAGCGGUCUCGCAUUGCGUUUGUACUGCUGCAGCCCUCCUUCUUGCCGGGGGCGGCCUCUCGGACUUCACUGUCUGGGGGUCAGAAUCGGCGAUGUUACUUUGAGUAAAUUAGAGUGUUCAAAGCAAGCUUACGCUCUGAAUAUAAUAGCAUGGGAUAACACGACAGGACUCUGGCCUAUCGAGUUGGUCUAUAGGACCAGAGUAAUGAUUAAGAGGGACAGUCGGGGGCAUUCGUAUUCCGUUGUCAGAGGUGAAAUUCUUGGAUUUACGGAAGACGAACAUCUGCGAAAGCAUUUGCCAAGGAUGCUUUCAUUGA
rnacentral:rRNA from 1 species